rnacentral:rRNA from 1 species
UACAGAGGUCUCAAGCGUUGUUCGGAUUCAUUGGGCGUAAAGGGUGCGUAGGUGGCGCUGUAAGUCGGGUGUGAAAUCCUGGGGCUUAACCCCGGAACUGCAUUCGAUACUGCCGUGCUUGAGGACUGGAGAGGAGACUGGAAUUUACGGUGUAGCGGUGAAAUGCGUAGAUAUCGUAAGGAAGACCAGUGGCGAAGGCGGGUCUCUGGACAGUUCCUGACGCUGAGGCACGAAGGCCAGGGGAGCAAACGGG